AUGGAGGAGGUAUUUCACGGUAUUCAAGGUCAUCAGUGAGUGUGGGAAGCCUGGUCCGCGGCCGCCACCUUGCAGACGCCGUAUUGAUUCUGCUUCUCUGAGAUGUCAUCAGAUUCAGAGGAAGAAAAUGGUGUGCAGCGUGAUGCAGAGGACAGUGAUGGAGGCAACUAUAGCCGCCACUCUCGGUCCCGCUCGCGCUCCCACUCCUCAGGCAGGACGCCCCCAAGGGAUGAUGACAUGGAUGAUGAUCAGCAUGGACAGGACCGGAAGGAGAAUGGGAUGAGGGGUGGAGGAAGUGACGAGUACAACUCAAAGAAGUACGACGGACAGAGAAACGCCAGCCGUUCAAAAUCCCCAGAGAACAAGGACGCCAUGGAGUGGUCUGCACCCCCCACGAUGGACGACAACAAGAGGGCCUCGCGCAGCCGCAGCAAGAGCAAGCCGAGGGAUCAGGAUGUAGCCAAGGAACAGAAGUCAAGCAGUAGCUCAUCCAAGAAGAAGUCGCGUUCAAGGCGGUCACGCUCUCGCUCCAGAAGCAAGAGAAGGUCACGGAGUCGGAGGCGCUCAAGGUCGCGUUCCCGCUCCUACAACUCUAGGUCCCGUAGAAGAUCCCGUUCUAGGUCACGGAGGAGGUCACGAUCACGGUCUCGCAGAAGAUCACGCACAAGGUCAAGGUCGAGGAGUGGCACACCUGUGGAUGGGGCGCGACUUCAUGUGGCUGAGCUGGAUGUAGACACCCGUAAACGUGAUCUUGAGCGUGUGUUUGAGAAAUACGGCCGGCUGAGGGAGAUCUGGAUGGCCCGCAACCCUCCGUGUUUUGCCUUUGUGGUGUAUGCUCACCAGAAAGAUGCUGACCGUGCUCUUAAAGAGACUGAUGGCAUCACAAUUGGCCACUGCCGCAUUAAGGUGACCCAAGCCAGGCCACGAGUGCGGGGAGGCCGGAUGAGAGGUGGCUAUGACCCCAACCUGCGCUGCUAUCAGUGUGGUGAACUUGGUCACUUCUCCCGCAACUGUACUGACACCAAGUUUGGCUACAAGCGGCCUCCCACACCGCCAGGCAUGGAGACGUCGGGGAAGCGAAAGGGCAAGUUUCCUUAGGUGCUGUGGGGCAAGGUUCCUUAGGUGCUGAGGGUGUGUUAUGGUUUGGUAAUGUGGUCAUUGGUUGGGUAAUGGGGAGAGGAAGCCGCUCCAGUGUAGUGCCGGAAUGAUGAUGGUGGUUCUGCGGGGCUCAGUGAUGGGAGAGUCACGUCCCCCCCCGCUCACUCACACACUCACUCCGCAUGAUGUAAGUCUACCCCACCACGCCAUCUCUCUCCUUUAGGUGAGGACUAGCGCAGCCUAUCCCAUAAAAGCUUUAGCCUUAGUCAUCUUGCAUCAGAGUUUUCUCUCUCGCACUCCCUCUCUCUCUCUCUCUCUAUCUGUCAUCCCAGACCCCCAAAUAGACUCACGGACAUACAUACGCACAACAUCAAAAGUUUUCCCCAAAGUAGCAGUGCUGCUACUGCUGUUAUCAUCCAGCUCCAUUGGCCCCCAUUUUUUCUCUCCAGGCAUUUAGUGCAUUAAUUUUACUCAUAAAUUUGCAGCAAGUCUCACUCAAGCAUUGCCUUUUCUCAGCCUGUCAUUGGCUCUUGCAUUUUAUUCUGUAUUAUACACUUCUUUUGAUAUUUUUGGUCACUUUAAAAGAAAUGGACAUGUUCUUUUCAUUUUUUUUGCUUUUGAUGAAAGUCUCACAUACAUUAUCAUGCUUUCUUACUUGUAUCCCAGUCUGCUUGAAUUUAUAAACACACACACACACACACACACACACACACACACACACACACACACACACACACACACACACACACACACACACACACACACACACACACACACCUGUUUAUUUCUAGAGAAAAAUAUCCAAAAACUCUGAGUUUCUUGUAAGGAGUUUAAAUAAUUAAUGUAAGAAUGUAUGACUAUAUUACUAUUAAUAUUUUAAAUCAUGUAAGUUGCAUCAAGUUUUGUUCUCAUUAUGGUAAACAAGUUAAAUAUUGAGAAAGUCAAGUUAUUGUUUUUAUCCAGUAUUGCAAGAUGAGUUUAUGAUUUAAUUUUUUGACAUGUGUUCCCUUUACUUGUAUGCCUAUGUUUGAUGUCUGUUUUUAUUACAUUGGCUGAGGUAUAUUGAGUGUAUUGGUGGUGGCAUUGUGACACUGGCUAAUCUUGCAGCCCCAUUAGUGCCUUGGUGGUGGGAAGUCUGGCAGUGGAGUCUUCACAACACCCUCACUCUCAUAGCUUUCAUUUGUCCCUGCCCUCCCCCAUCUAAUAGAAUGUCUGAAUCACAACCUUCUCUUAGUUUCACACAUUAAGAGUUAGUUUCUCAUUAUAUAUUUAUUUGUUUGUUUUUAUGGUUAGGGUUACACUCUAGGAUUAUUCUGUAGAAGCUUCUGUCAUUGCAUAUGGGUUGAUUGCCAAAUGCUGUAGGAUUUUCAAAACUAAACCGGCUGGGUUGAGAAUUCCCUUCAAAUUUCGGUGAUAAUGUUAUCUUAGAGUUCUGUCCCUUUGCAUUAAUGUCCUGUAGCUUGUUUUAGCCAUCAAUUACAACUUGAAUUGCUCAUUUAGAGGGGAACUUUCUGAUGAAUUUUAAGUACAUACACUUUGCCUGUUCUCUCCAUGAUCUUUCUGAAGUCACCUUCCUGUACAUUUAGUGGACUAUAUGUAGUAGAGGAUACUUCAUUCUGCUAUGUUUUAACAAUUUCUGUAUUAUUACGUAUUUCUUGAAGAUAACCUCACUCAUUGUUUGCUCCUACCUUUGCUCUUGGUCAUCUCAGGUUUAGUGAUGUACUUGGUCUUGCGUAAUGAAGGGUUGAUGGCAUUGAUUGAUUGCUGAACAAGUUACCAGGGCUCUUUAAUUCAUGCUCCUCAGCCCCCCCAAUCACAUAAUUUACCAAAAGCAAUCCCCGUUAUAGAAAAUAAAAAAUUUUUUACUUUUUUUGUGCUAUUGAAUAAUAUACUCAUUCACCAAUUAAUUUCAGAAAUGUGAUAUGGCGGGGUCCACAGCUUUAGGGUGUUGUAAUUUGAGUGGUGUGGUGUUAGUGUGUUACUCUUGUCCGGUGAAGAAGGCAGCAGUGGUGUGAUAUCCAACAUGGGACAUGGUGCUAAACGGACUACGAUAUGGGGUGAAGUCGCAUCCUGCUUUGGCAAACAAAAGUAGCCGUCACAUAUCCCCUUAAUUUUCAGAGUGAGGGAGAGUUACCACCCUCGACUUGUUUGAUGUGGAGGGAGUAGAUAUGGUCCCACCGCCGGGGACGCCACCGCUCACGCUCCAGGUCACGGUCUCGCUACCGCAGCCGCUCCAGGUCUCGGUCGUGAGGCCCUAGAGUUGUGGGACCAACUUGCCAAAAAGGACGAAGGUACACUGGACUGCCAGCGCCGACCUUCAGAGCAGUUGUGUCGGUGGUUCGUUGAAGGUGAAAUCCGGACUAUCAAUAAAUCAUUCAGUGGUAGAAACCCUCAGUUCUGUUUUGUCUGCCUAUGAUGUUAGUUGGCAAGUUCUAGCACAAAGAAAGAUUUAGAACCUUGCCUUCACUUGAUCACUCACUCUAAGACCGGUCAGUUUAAGAUUAUUAUGCCUGUUUCUGUCUUCUGUUUUGUUAAUCAGCUUGGGAACACCCAACUACACUUUUUUUCUUUUUUUUUUUUCCAGUUAUGCCUGCCUUUGAUUUUUCUGUUUGUAAGUUAGGAGUAUGUUUUUCAUGAUCAAUCACUAUGAGGUAUUGUACUUGAUGUAAGCAAUGAGAAUAUAAAGUAAAUAAAUAAAAAGUAACUACUGUCUUA